UACGUAGGGUGCAAGCGUUGUCCGGAAUUAUUGGGCGUAAAGAGCUCGUAGGCGGUUUGUCGCGUCUGCUGUGAAAACCUAAGGCUCAACCUUGGGCUUGCAGUGGGUACGGGCAGACUAGAGUGCGGUAGGGGUGACUGGAAUUCCUGGUGUAGCGGUGGAAUGCGCAGAUAUCAGGAGGAACACCGGGUGGCGAAGGCGGCUUUCUGGAC
rnacentral:rRNA from 1 species